UCCCUGGUGGUCCACUGGUUGAGACCCUGCACUUCCAAUGCAGGGGGCACAGGUUCGAUCCCUAGUUGGGGAA
rnacentral:tRNA from 1 species